ensembl:lncRNA
GGGGCCUCCCACCCUCCUUCUUUUUACUUUUUCCAUCCUAUUCCCCUCUUGAGUCAUUUUCCUUGUAGCCUCUAGAGGGCAGCACAUGUGUUUUUAUUUGAAAGAACAGUGUCUUCUCGGAAGUCUUAACUUCCUCAAACAAAAAGCAGUAAUUUGCAAGCAGUAGGAAAGUCAGAUUGUUUUAGAGGAACUUUCUGAUUUCAGGAGUCCAUCAUGAGGACCUCAACAGUUGAGGGUCUUCCUUCGUGACUUACUGGAAUGAGUCAUUUCUUUCUCCUUGUCAACUGUCCUUUCCACCUUUGGAUAUUUAUGCCCUAGAAAUUUCUUUUGGCUCUAUCUACAGGGCCGUGUAGGAAUAAUUUCACUUGAGCCUUUCAAAAUAUUUUUCCUUUGGAAGGCUUGAUUUUUAGGUAAAGACAAUAAAGAACAAAAUCAGUAUUUGCACUUAGGGAGAGUGGGAAGAUCCAGGAAAUUGUGAACCUCGUAAAGUUGUAAGGUUAUAUUGGAAGAAUUGGACCGACACAAGGCAAAAGCAAUGCCACUAUUCUCAUCAGUGUAUGAAUGGUUAGAAUGCAGGGCUUAAAAAUCUGUAAGAAUUAUUUGAAUUGUGAGGCAUAAGCAUUCUGGAAUUUUUUUUUCCUGUUCUUUUUUUUCUUUCUCUUCCGUCCUUCCUUCUUUCCUUCCUACCUACCUUCCUUCCUUUUCUUUCUUGCCACACAAGCAGCAUGUGGAGGUUCCUGGGCUAGAGAUGGAACCCGAGCCACAGCAGUGACCUGAGCUGCUGCAGUGACAAUACCAGAUUCUUAACCCACUGUGCCACGAGGGAACUCCUGUUCUUUUCAAGCAACUAUUAUUAGUCUUGUGUAGAGUAGAAAUCAUCAAAUAAUAAUUUAAAGGGAUUUAUAGGCAUUGAUUUUUUUUAAACUUUAUAAUGAUUUUUAUUUUUUCCAUUCUAGCUAGUUUAUGGUGUUCUGUCAGUUUUCCACUGUACAGGAAGGUGAACCAGUUAAACAUACAUGUAUAUACAUUCUAGCUUAUAGGCACUGAUUUUGAUGUAGGGAUCGGAAACAAUCUUACGCUCCCUGCGAUGUGUCUCUACUCUGGUUCUGAAAUUCUUUCUACAUAUACAACCCAGUUUAUUUUAAAAAAGAGCGGACAAAAAAAAAAAAAAAGAGAGAGAGAGAGAAAUAGGAGUUCCUGUCAUGGCUCAGCAAUUAUCGAACAUGACUAGCAUCCAUGAAAACGUCGGUUUGAUCCCUGGUCUCACUCAGCAGGUUGAGGAUCUGGCAUUGCUGUGAGCUGUGGUGUAGGUCACAGACAUGGCUCGAAUCCCGAGUUGCUAUGGCUCUGGCAGUAGGCCGGCGGCUGCAGCUCCGAUUGGACCCUUAGCCUGGGAACCUCCAUAUGCCGUGGGUAUGGCCCUAAAGAGACAGAAAGACCAAAAAAAAGAGAGUGAGAGAAAUAACUUGAGAAUUGUCUGAAAUUUAUGUUGAAUGAAUAGACCUCAUAGUCCAAUGAUAAAAAAUUAAAUGAGUGAAAUUAAGCAUUAAAUUAAUUUCUUCUACUUCCAGUCUUCUUUUUCUCCUCUCCCUUUUCCUGUCUUCAUUUCUCUCAGUAAACUUUGAUUGCAUGCUAAUUGUUUGCUAGACCUUUUAUUAGGUUCCACCUAUGCAGUGGUAAAGACACAAGCAUAGUUUAAAACUUUGUGGAAUUAUAGCCAGUGGGAAACGCAGACAAAACGAAAAGUAAAUACAUCAUUUCUGAGAAGGAAAAGUGGCAGUGAGAGUAACUCUUGUGAUCAACUUUUAUGCUAAGUAGUCAGGAUAGCUCUUUCUGAGGAGAUGAGGUUAGGUGACCCCAGCCACAUAAAGGAUUGGGGGAAGGGCUCUUCAGGAAGGGGAUUAGCAGGUGACACAUUCUAAGAACUAAGUGGGUGUCUAGGUAUCUUGGUGUGAAUGAGGAAGGGCGCUAAGAUGCAGCUGGAGGGGUGAUGGACCAGUUCAGAAAGGUCUCUGUGAAGAGCUUGGAGUUAUUUCUAGGUGCAGUGAUGGUUUUUAAAGAACAAAAGCAAAACAGUGGCAUCAUCAUCUGAUUUAGCUUUUUUUAAAUAAUGAUUUUUAUUUUUUCCAUUACAGCUGGUUUACAGUGCUCUGUCAAUUUUCUACUGUAUAGCAAGGUGAUCCAGUCACACAUACCUGUAUACAUUCUUUUUUCUCACAUUAUCAUGCUCCAUCAUAAGUAACUAGAUAUAGUUCCCAUUGCUGUACAGCAGGAUCUCAUUGCUUAUCUUUCCAAAGACAAUAGUUUGCAUGAUUUAGCUUUUUAAGGGCUCAUUCUGGCUGCUUCAUGGAGAAGGGAUUGGAGAGGGACUCAAGUGAAUGUGGGAGUAGUAGGCAGUUGCAGAAAUCUAGACAAAAGUAAUUUUGUAACUGACUUUCACUUGCAAGUUGGGAGUAGAGGAAAAAGCUUUUUUUUUUUUCUGAUUCUUUAAAGGUAAAGAGUUUUCAGCUUGUUAAUCAUGUAAACAUUGAGAGAGCAGUUAAUGACUGGUGGGAUAGUAAAAAGUACUCUUAGAAACAUUAAUGUCUUGUGUUUCUAGUUUUAUGUAAAAUGACAUUGAUUGUGAAAAGUAGAGACAAUCCAAACACCUUCAAAUGAUUGUUUUCUCUCUGAGGGUUUUAAAAUUGCCGAUGAAAUAUGGGAGAGGAUGAGAACACUAAGAAUUUGAUAAGUAUGUUUACAUACCCCUUAAUAUUAUUAUGUUAGGAACUUCUAUUUUAAACAAAUAUAGUGAUAGACUGCUGAGACUUAAAAUGU